CAAUGCAAGAUGCCCAGAGAAGUAUUUAUGAUUAAAUUGUUAGAAGAAGAAUUUGGGGGUUCCACGAACCAGAGUGACAAGAACAAAUAAAAAAAAAAUCCAGACAUACUGUGAGAAAGGAGAUCCAUUUAUUCCCAAGAAUAAAGAGAUUUGUUUUAGGGGUAGACUACAGAGAAAAUUGGGUCCAGAGACUUUUUAUCUGUGGUGUGGGCUUGAGGGUAUGGUUUGUGUAUGUGCUGUUUUUAGUGUAUCCUUCCUGUGGAGAUUGAGGUACUCCUGCCCCGGGCUUUGUCUCUGAGGUACAUGUAAAAUCCAGAAAGGAAGAUCACCCUUGCCCUCCAAUAUGUAGAUUCCUCCAUAUGUUUGGAUUUAUUAUGAGGGGAACUGGCGUCUUCUUUAUCUGAGAGAAUUCUUGUUCUUUGAUGGUAGGAAAGGAGGCAGAUGAGAUGACCUUUUAAUUUCCAACAAAGUUUAUGCAACUUUUAUUCCUGAAGGAAGCAUUAAUAUGUGCUCAGACCUCUUAUACACAACUAAUACCAAUACCAUAAAAAUACACUGAAAAAAGCAUUAGCAAAGACAGGGAAAUACGCAGAAGUUUUCUAUCUAACUUCUGGCUAAGAAACGGCGAACUGAGAAGAGCCAAUAACUUUGGCAGAAUGAUGGGCUGGCGAGCAGACCAGCUCUUCAUAGUUCUUCUCCAAAUAAGGAGAGGACUUGAGAUUGUUCACAAGUGCUUCACAGAGUUGUUACUCAUGAGGAGGCCACUUAAGAGCAAUCUUCAGCAGGCUUAAAUAUCUGUAAGGUUCUGAGACCAUGAUCAAGACACCAAUCAAAAUAGUUUGUUGCAGCAGCAGCAGCAGCACCUUGGAUAAAGAAUAAUUAUCUGGAGAUAAAAAAAAAAUGUGGAGCCUACUUUUUUACUUUCUUAGUGCUAGGACACCUGCCAUGGCCCUGAUUUUUAGAGUCAGAUUCUGAGUCUGAAGCUGAUGAAACUGUUCCAAAUGAGCCUCUGGAAUUUAGCUUCAGGAAGGACAAUUCCAGAUACCACAUGAGGUUGAUCAAUUACAAAUGCCACCUGAACAGCUGGAUCCAUCAGAAGGAGGAUGACUUAAGAUUUACCAGUCCCUGCACUAGAGAGCAGGAAGGAGAGCAGAACAGAGGAAGUUUAUAACAUCUUCAUCAAUGAUUUGGAUGAGAGGACAGAUGGGGAUAGAUGGGGAACUCAUC